GCCGGCGUACAAGGACGCGGACGGAUGGCGGAGGCGUGUGUCCUUUCAUCUCACAUUGCAUUUCACUCUCACGUCUUCCGCCGUCACGCUGCGGGUUCGAAUCCCGCCGCCGGCG
rnacentral:tRNA from 1 species